rnacentral:rRNA from 1 species
GGCGGUAUUUUAGUCUAUUCAGAGGAAUCUGUCCUAUAAUUGAUAAUCCACGAUUUAACUUACUUUUAAAAAAAAUUUAUAUAUCGUCGUAGUUUGAAUAUUUUAAAAGAAUUUUAAUAUUCAAAAUUUUUUAUAAAAUUAAAUCAGAUCAAGGUGUAGUUUAUAUAAAAGAAGAGAUGGAUUACAUUAAAUUUAUUUAAGAAUUAAUUUUUGUAAAAUUUUAUGAAUAUGGAUUUGAUAGUAAUUUUUUAAAAAUUUUAAAAAUGAUUUUAGCUCUAAAAUAUG